GUAUAGAACGCCUUCGGCUGAUGCGUAUAAAACUAUGGCCGUUAGAAAAUUGCGCCAUGUUUUAGUUCACGAGUGAAUUGUUUUCCGAAAGUGAAUAUAUUAAAGUAAUCUUUCUUAAAUAUUCUAUUUCUCGAAGAUUGACGAAGAAGUAAGCUUGAAAAAGUUUCACGUGUUAGCACGAUAAAAUAGGUCAAAUAAAAGUAGCCAAAGAUAAACAAAUUAUUGGCAGUAAAGAAUUUAAUUUCUUAGUUCUUUUUAAUUCAUCGUGGGUAAAUUUGAUCCGUGUGAGAUCGAACUGUUUAAAUAUUUCAGUAUGGUAUUGGUAAACAAAAUGUCGGUAGAUAAUCUCAGUGAUGCAGAAUUACGUAGUAAGCUUAUGGAAUAUGGAUACCCGGUAGGACCUGUAACACAGACAACCAGAAAAAUACUUGCUAAAAAACUAAAGACUCUUAUUGAAACCCGAGGUCUUGCUGGAACGCGUCAUUCGUUAGCUGCCAGAUACAGCAGCGAUGAGACCGAUGAGGAUACAGCUUCAACCGUUGUUAAAAAAAAAAAAUCAGCAUCUAAUACUCGUCGACAAACUUUGGCCAAUCCUAUGCCCCCACCAUCUUCUAUGAUACCAGCACCUUCGGAAACUAAAAAUUUGAUGAAAGAUCCCAACGUAGAAAUUGUUGAUAAUAUUAUACCAGAGCCGGUUGGUUCAUCAACAUUUUCUAAUCGUACCAUUACAAGUUUACAAAAGAAACAUACAAAGAUUUAUAAUUCAGCCAAUCGAUCAGAUGGUUUAGAAACUGGUUCCGAUUCAGAUAUUAGAGAAGAAAACGAGUCGUCGAAUUAUUUGCAAAGUAGAUAUUUAACUAAUGUUGGAAAGUUGUAUGGUUCUAAAUUACAUACCGAGCCUACGGUUGGAGAAGAACCAUCUUCAAAAUUAUACGAAUCAAAGUCAAGACCUGUACAUACUCCUAAAGAUAAUAAGUAUGUCGAACCUCCUUUUAAAACUUAUAAUACUUUUAUAUCACCAACUAAGGAAGAUACGAAUGUAAGAGAUUCGAGAGAUUUGCUUUCGAACUAUGACACUCCAUUUUUAUCAGAAUUUACACGAAGGCUCAGUUCUAGAGCGACAUUGGAUACCCCUUCUACAUCUCACUCUUCGAUGAAUAGUUCUAUAAUACGAGACUCACCCUCUGUUUUUCCUGAAACAUACAAGAAGGAUUUAAAUCAUCAUUUCUCUUCUUUAAAAUCGUUGUGUUCAACUUUGCCUGCGGGUUUAAGAACAGUUGAUGCAAUUACCGACAGAUCUCGUAAAACUAUUGGCAAAAAAUUCAAGUCCAACUCGAAUAAGGAAGAUUUACGGAACAACCAAAAUAUGAUAUCUGUCUUCCUAGUGGUGGUACUUGCUUUAUUUUUUGCAAUCCUGGCAAUAAUAUACUUGGGGCUGGGUGGUAAAAAUGAAACUUUCCCAUCAUUAUCAAUGGAUAGCGAUAUACCGCUGUGUUUUAUGGGAACGCCUGAUCUCAAAGCACCAGGAGUUAAUUGUGUAAUGAAAGAAAAUGUAGAAAAAGUAUUACUAUUAUUAAAACAACUUCAACCGGUUUUAUUGAAAAAAGCAAUAUCUGUCCUAUGCGACAAUUCUAGUGAUAUACCAUAUUUAACGGACUCGGAAAUUGAGGAUAUGUUGUUAAAAACUAAAUUGGACCCUCUAGUAGUGAAAGAAUAUUUACAAAAUGCACAACUUCUUAUUAUUAAGAAUCCUCAAUGGGGUAUUUCACUUAUUGAUGUAAGCGAUGGCGAUAAGACUUCUGGAGAAGUAUUAAAUUCGUUGGAUAGUAUAUUUUCAGCACGUAUAAAUGGAAAAAUUGGAAUGAUUAUAUUGAAUCCAGAUCGACCAUUGCAAUGUCAUAUCAAGAAUAAGUUAUUCACCAUUUUUUCAACUCUCCUGAUAAUCUCCCUUGGCAUUUUAGCAGUUAUCGGAACGCAGAAAUUAUUCGUUUGGUAUAAAAGAUAUCAAAAAUCAAUGGAAAGAGAACUAUUUAAGCUAGUUAGCGAAAUCAUUAACAUCGUUGAACAGCAUCAUCAAAAUGUUGGAUUAUCAUCCUCCGGUACGACGCAAGAUACAUUUCUUGCGAUCAAUCACGUGCGUGAUAAUUUGAUUUUGCCGAAAGAUCGUAAAAGAAUGUCUAGUUUAUGGGAAAAAGCUGUUAAAUUCUUGGACGAGAAUGAAUCUAGAAUUCGAAGAGAAGUACAACAAGUUGCUGGUGAAGAAUUUCACGUAUGGCGUUGGUUACCUAAUAAUACUCUUAACGUGUCUAACGCGCAAAGUCCUUCGUUGAAUAAAAAAUCCAAAGUAUGGCAAGGACAAGCGUUUGAAACUAUGGAAGGAUCGGUUAAUAGUUUAACUUGUUCGCCGACUCCCUGCUUAAAAAUAAGACAUAUGUUUGAUCCAGAUGCAAAAGUGUGGAGAAGGUGUGCAAAUACUUCAUAUUCGAGUGGAUCGCGGUAGCCGAGAAGGUUGCGUUUAUAUGAAGUGCACAUCGCAGAGAGAUGCUGGAAAAGCUUACAGAGCAUUACACGGCUGGUGGUUUGACGGUCAUUUAGUAACCGUCAAAUAUUUGCGACUUGAACGAUAUUACAAAAGAUUUCCAGACGCUGUGCAAUGCACGACGGCUUUGAAACCAAGCAAUAAUAAACGGUUAUCCAUGCAGGCACACUAUUGGCAAAGUCCGUUAGAAUCUAAUUAAUGGAAACUGUCCACCACAUGCUCCAUCAUAUCUUGCAAAAAAAAAAAAAAAGAAAGAAAGAGAAAAAAAGAAAAAA
rnacentral:misc_RNA from 1 species